CCCCAGUCAAUAGUCCCCCAGUCAGUCAUCUCCCCCAGUCAAUAGUCCCCCAGUCAGUCAUCUCCCAGUCAAUAGUCCACCAGUCAAUAGCCCCCAGUCAAUAGCCCCCAGUCAGUCAUCUCCCAGUCAAUAGUCCCCCAGUCAUCCCCCCCCCAGUCAGUCAUCUCCCAGUCAAUAGCCCACCAGUCAAUAGCCCCCCAGUCAGUCAUCUCCCAGUCAAUAGUCCACCAGUCAAUAGCCCCCAGUCAGUCAUCUCCCAGUCAAUAGUCCACCAGUCAAUAGCCCCCAGUCAGUCAUCUCCCAGUCAAUAGCCCCCAGUCAAUAGUCCACCAGUCAAUAGUCCACCAGUCAAUAGUCCCCAGUCAAUAGUCCCCAGUCAAUAGUCCA
ensembl:lncRNA